CGGACGGGUGAGGAAUACAUCGGAAUCUACUCUGUCGUGGGGGAUAACGUAGGGAAACUUACGCUAAUACCGCAUACGACCUACGGGUGAAAGCAGGGGAUCUUCGGACCUUGCGCGAUUGAAUGAGCCGAUGUCGGAUUAGCUAGUUGGCGGGGUAAAGGCCCACCAAGGCGACGAUCCGUAGCUGGUCUGAGAGGAUGAUCAGCCACACUGGAACUGAGACACGGUCCAGACUCCUACGGGAGGCAGCAGAU
rnacentral:rRNA from 1 species